rnacentral:rRNA from 1 species
UCGGACGGGUGAGUAACGACGUGGAAAACCUAGCCGUAUACUGGGGGAGUAACACUUAGAAAUAGGUGCUAAUACCGCAUAAGCGCACAGCUUCGCAUGAAGCGGUGUGAAAAACUCUGGUGGUAUACGAUGGUUCCGCGUCUGAUUAGCUAGUUGGUGGGGUAAUGGCCUACCAAGGCAACGAUCAGUAGCCGGCCUGAGAGGGUGAACGGCCACAUUGGGACUGAGACACGGCCCAAACUCCUACGGGAGGCAGCAG